rnacentral:rRNA from 1 species
AACCCCUGUCGAACGGGACGAACGGCCCCUGGGCUAAUCACCGGGGGAGUGACGGUACCGUUAAAAGAAGCCACGGCUAACUCUGUGCCAGCAGCCGCGGUAAUACAGAAGUGGCAAGCGUUGUUCGGAAUUACUGGGCGUAAAGGGCGCGUAGGCCGCCAUCUAAGUCAGACAUGAAAUCCCCCGGCUUAACCUGGGAACUGCGUCUGAUACUGGACGGCUCUAGUUUGGGAUAGGGAUGUACAAUUCCACGUGUAUCGGUGAAAUGCGUAUAUAUCUGGAGGAAAACCGGUGGCGAAAGCGGCAUCCUGGACCAACACUGACACUGAGGCGCGAAAGCGUGGGGAGCAAACAGGAUUAUAUACCCUGGUAGUCCACGCCGUAAACAAUGGGCACUAUGUGCCGGGGGGAGCGACACCGUCUGUGCCGCAGCUAACGCGUUAAGUGCCCCGCCUGGGGAGUACAGCCGCAAGGCUGAAACUCAAAGGAAUUGACGGGGGCCCGCACAAGCGGUGGAGCAUGUGGUUUAAUUCUAAGCAACGCGAAGAACCUUACCUGGGUUUGACAUGCACGUGAAACCCCUGUGAAAGCACGGGCCUCCUUCUGGACACAUGCACAGGUGCUGCAUGGCUGUCGUCACCUCUUGUCUUGAGAUGUUGGGUUAAGUCUCGCAACGAGCGCAACCCUUG